GUCCUUUUGAAUAAGUAUUAUUCCAUUUCGAUUUAGUCUUUCAAUUUUAAUUUUUCUUGUAUUUCUUUUUUUUUUAUUGGGUCCUUAUUCUUUGGAUUUCUUAUUUUUUCUUUAAUCAUUUUAUAAAAGUUUUAUUGGUUUUUUAUCUUCCCUUUUAAUCUGGUGAGUUAUGUUUUUUUAUUUUCCCCCAUUCUUUUAUUUCUUCUAGCUUGAGUUAUUUUUUUCAAUUAAACCCUCUAAUAAAAAAAAUUGAGUUGCUCUCUAAUUUAUUUUGAUUUUCACCCUUAUUCUUUUAAUUACUAUUUUUUAUUUUAGAUCUUUUUGUGUAGUUAGUUUUUAUUCCCUAUGUA
rnacentral:lncRNA from 1 species